rnacentral:rRNA from 1 species
UAGGGAAUCUUCGGCAAUGGACGAAAGUCUGACCGAGCAACGCCGCGUGAGUGAAGAAGGUUUUCGGAUCGUAAAACUCUGUUGUUAGAGAAGAACAAGGACGUUAGUAACUGAACGUCCCCUGACGGUAUCUAACCAGAAAGCCACGGCUAACUACGUGCCAGCAGCCGCGGUAAUACGUAGGUGGCAAGCGUUGUCCGGAUUUAUUGGGCGUAAAGCGAGCGCAGGCGGUUUCUUAAGUCUGAUGUGAAAGCCCCCGGCUCAACCGAGGAGGGUCAUUGGAAACUGGGAGACUUGAGUGCAGAAGAGGAGAGUGGAAUUCCAUGUGUAGCGGUGAAAUGCGUAGAUAUAUGGAGGAACACCAGUGGCGAAGGCGGCUCUCUGGUCUGUAACUGACGCUGAGGCACGAAAGCGUGGGGAGCAAACAGG